rnacentral:rRNA from 1 species
GACGAACGCUGGCGGCAUGCCUAAUACAUGCAAGUCGAGCGAACAUUUAUAGAAUUUGUCUGCUAUAAGUGUGAGGGACGGGUGAGUGACUAACACGUGGCCAACCUGUCCUUUAGAGGUAGAUAACGCCGACAAAGCGGGGCUAAGACCGGAUAAUCAUGCUGCACGCUGGGACAAGGUCAAAAAGGGCGCUUCGGGUGGGACUCCAGGAUUAUCCCCCGGCGGAUUAGGUAGUUGGUUGGAUAACGGCCUACCAAGACCAGGAUUGGUAGCCGAACUGGGAGGGUGAUAGGCCACACUGGAACUGAGACAGGGACAAGACUCCUAAGGGAGGCAGCAGUAGGGAAUCGUCCGCAAUGGACGGAAGUAUGACGGAGCAAUGCCGAGUGAGCGACGAAGGUUCUCGGAUCGUAAAGCUCGGUUGUGAGGGAAGAACAGGUUCGGCCGUAACUGAACGUAGCUUGACGGUACCUGAUAAGAAAGCCACGGCUAACUACGUG